UAACGCGUGAGGAACCUGCCUCAAAGAGGAGGACAACAGUUGGAAACGACUGCUAAUACCGCAUAAGCCCACAGCUCGGCAUCGAGCAGAGGGAAAAGGAGUGAUCCGCUUUGAGAUGGCCUCGCGUCCGAUUAGCUAGUUGGUGAGGUAAUGGCCCACCAAGGCGACGAUCGGUAGCCGGACUGAGAGGUUGAACGGCCACAUUGGGACUGAGACACGGUCCAA
rnacentral:rRNA from 1 species